AGUGAACGCUGGCGGUAGGCCUAACACAUGCAAGUCGAACGGCAGCACAGUAAGAGCUUGCUCUUACGGGUGGCGAGUGGCGGACGGGUGAGGAAUACAUCGGAAUCUACUUUUUCGUGGGGGAUAACGUAGGGAAACUUACGCUAAUACCGCAUACGACCUACGGGUGAAAGCAGGGGAUCUUCGGACCUUGCGCGAUUGAAUGAGCCGAUGUCGGAUUGGCUAGUUGGCGGGGUAACGGCCCACCAAGGCGACGAUCCGUAGCUGGUCUGAGAGGAUGAUCAGCCACACUGGAACUGAGACACGGUCCAGACUCCUACGGGAGGCCGCAGUGGGGAAUAUUGGACAAUGGGCGCAAGCCUGAUCCAGCCAUACCGCGUGGGUGAAGAAGGCCUUCGGGUUGUAAAGCCCUUUUGUUGGGAAAGAAAAGCAGCAGGUUAAUCCCCCGCUGUUCUGACGGUACCUAAAGAAUAAGCACCGGCUAACUUCGUG
rnacentral:rRNA from 1 species